rnacentral:rRNA from 1 species
UACGUAGGGUGCGAGCGUUAAUCGGAAUUACUGGGCGUAAAGCGUGCGCAGGCGGUUCGUUGUGUCUGUGGUGAAAGCCCCGGGCUUAACCUGGGAAUGGCCAUGGAAACUGGCGAGCUGGAGUGUGGCAGAGGGGGGUGGAAUUCCACGUGUAGCGGUGAAAUGCGUAGAGAUGUGGAGGAACACCGAUGGCGAAGGCAGCCUCCUGGGCCAACACUGACGCUCAUGCACGAAAGCGUGGGGAGCAAACAGG